CGGUGCGUAACACGUGAGCAACCUACCUAAGUGUGGGGGAUAGCCGGCCCAACGGCCGGGUAAUACCGCAUACGCUCUUCUUUAGGCAUUUAGGGGAGAGGAAACCUUCGGGGCACUAUGAGGGGCUCGCGGCCUAUCAGCUAGUUGGCGAGGUAAUGGCUCACCAAGGCGACGACGGGUAGCUGGUCUGAGAGGAUGGCCAGCCACAUUGGGACUGAGAAACGGCCCAG
rnacentral:rRNA from 1 species